AGCGAACGCUGGCGGCAGGCCUAACACAUGCAAGUCGAACGGACCCUUCGGGGUUAGUGGCGGACGGGUGAGUAACACGUGGGAACGUGCCUUCAGGUUCGGAAUAGCUCCUGGAAACGGGUGGUAAUGCCGAAUGUGCCCUUCGGGGGAAAGAUUUAUCGCCUUUAGAGCGGCCCGCGUCUGAUUAGCUUGUUGGUGGGGUAAUGGCCCACCAAGGCUACGAUCAGUAGCUGGUCUGAGAGGAUGACCAGCCACAUUGGGACUGAGACACGGCCCAAACUCCUACGGGAGGCAGCAGUGGGGAAUCUUGCGCAAUGGGCGAAAGCCUGACGCAGCCAUGCCGCGUGUAUGAUGAUGGUCUUAGGAUUGUAAAAUACUUUCACCGGUGAAGAUAAUGACUGUAGCCGGAGAAGAAGCCCCGGCUAACUUCGUGCCAGCAGCCGCGGUAAUACGAAGGGGGCUAGCGUUGCUCGGAAUUACUGGGCGUAAAGGGAGCGUAGGCGGACAUUU
rnacentral:rRNA from 1 species